rnacentral:rRNA from 1 species
GACGAACGCUGGCGGCGUGCCUAACACAUGCAAGUCGAACGGGGUGUUCCUUCGGGGACACUUAGUGGCGAGCGGGUGAGUAACGCGUGAGAAACCUGCCUCUCAGUGGGGGACAACAGUUGGAAACGACUGCUAAUACCGCAUAAUGUUAUCGGGUCGCAUGAUCUGAUAACCAAAGCUUUAUGUGCUGAAAGAUGGUCUCGCGUCUGAUUAGCUAGUUGGUGAGGUAACGGCUCACCAAGGCGACGAUCAGUAGCCGGUCUGAGAGGAUGAACGGCCACAUUGGGACUGAGAUACGGCCCAG